rnacentral:rRNA from 1 species
CGGGAGGCAGCAGUGAGGAAUAUUGGACAAUGGGCGCAAGCCUGAUCCAGCCAUGCCGCGUGCAGGAUGACGGUCCUAUGGAUUGUAAACUGCUUUUGCACAGGAAGAAACACCCCGACGUGUCGGGGCUUGACGGUACUGUGAGAAUAAGGAUCGGCUAACUCCGUGCCAGCAGCCGCGGUAAUACGGAGGAUCCAAGCGUUAUCCGGAAUCAUUGGGUUUAAAGGGUCCGUAGGCGGUCUUAUAAGUCAGUGGUGAAAUCUCCCCGCUCAACGGGGAAACGGCCAUUGAUACUGUAGGACUUGAAUUAUUAGGAAGUAACUAGAAUAUGUAGUGUAGCGGUGAAAUGCUUAGAGAUUACAUGAAAUACCAAUUGCGAAGGCAGGUUACUACUGAUG